GUUGAGCUUUUGUUUCAUCGAUUUUGGUUUUUGUUGUCGAGAUUUUGUUUCAUCGAUGCAUGUUAUGUUUCGCAAGAAAUGUUGUUUGUUUUGGCUGUUUUGGUUUUCGCUGUUGAGCUUUUGUUUCAUGCAUGCACUGUGUGUUUCGCACGGAAUGUUGUUUCAAUAUGCAUGUUUGGUUACACAUGCAUGUUUUUUGGUGGGGUUGUUGAUUUGUUGUUCACAAAUGUUUUCGACUUUGUUUGUGGUUUUUCAAUAACAAUAAUUGAUAUCUUUGAUGUUUUUUGGUAUUUGACAGACGAAUAAUGACGAUGCGUCGAAUGUUUCCUAAUAUCUAUGCAUGUUUAGUUGUUACCUUUUUUUCCCAAUUCUGGCUUACCUGAUGUCAUUUGGUGUAUGCUUUGGUUGUGUUAUAGGCAGGGCCAAGAAGAUCGCCGAAUAGGUAAGUCUUUCAGAGAAGCAUGAGCUGACCUAUAAUUGCAAUGCCUUUAAUGUUUUCUAAUGUCUAUGUAUGUUUGGUUGUAUCUUUGUUAAUUUGAUUUGGUGUAUGUUUUGGUUGUUAUUUAGGCAGGGUGAAUGAGAUCACAAAAAGGGUAAAAUCUAUCUAUAUUAUGUAUUCUAUAUUCUAUGUCUAUCUAUAUUCUCUCUAUAUCUAUUCUAAGUCUCAUCAAAGAGAUGUAUAGGGAAAAGGAUAUUGUGCUCAUGCUUGAACUGCUGACAUGUGUUGAAUUUUGCUUUCUUGGUUUGCUCGGUUAUCAUUAUGCUUGCCACAUGGGCACACAAACGGUUCUGUAUAGACAUUUGUUUUCUUAUGGCACUGAAUGCAAGCUGCAUAACACCAUGAAUGAUUGUCCAUAGCAAAUCUCAAUGCCCAAUUCUGAAAGUCUUCCAUUUUGUGGUUGGUUUUGCAUGUAGAUUUUUUGGGGUGUUGUUUUGAUUUGGUGUGUCGGUUUUUGUCGAUGUUGGUCUGCCUUAUGAGUUUUCAUUUUGUUGCAUGCAUGUUGGCUUUGUUUCAUGAUUAAUAUUUGUCCUUUUUCAAAACGUGCAAUACUGUUUUUUUUACGUUGUUGGUUGCUUAUGGAUGUUUUUUUGUGGUGUUGAGUUGGUCCUGAUUUAAGCGGUUCAAGACAAUAAGAAAAUAGGGCAUUGAAAGUUACUAUUGUGGCGAUGGUUCAUGUGUUGCCGCCUGUUCAAUUUGUUUUUUUUUUGGCGCAUUUCCACUUGGGUGCAAGUGUCAACUUUUUGAUGGAUUCCCGGUCAUUCCCUCAACUACUCCAAAGCUUCUUUCUUUGUUUUUGCUUCAUUUGCUUAUUGCUGAGUGUUGGAUGCUGCUUUACUUGCUUUGUUUCCUUGCUUUCUUUUUCAUGUAGGUAUCUUGAGUUCCAGUUUAGUUUUCCUCCUGCUGACACGUUCAAUUUUGUGUUCUCCGUAUGAGGAUGCUAUUCAUCCAAGUUAGCAAUUCUUUGCUGGCUUCUAAGUUGGCUAUUAGUUAGCCGGUGGAAUGGAAGCAACAAUUCAAUCAUAGAAACAACGAUUGAGACUGGACAGUUGCCAACCAAACCAAUCUUCCAUUAAUUGGAAUUUUGGGAAAAUGUAGUAAUUUAAUGCAUUCAAUUUGUUCCUUCACCUUCCUAUAACAUCAUGGGGUUUAGCUUAUAUAGCAGAGGAUGCAAAGGCUUCACCACAUUGCUGUAAUCUGUUAUCUUUGAUUUUUCCCCAAACAAUCAUUAGUUUCUUACCAUCCCAAAGAUGAGCUCAACAUCAUCAACAGCGUCAAGCAGGAUGAGGGAUCCUAUAAUGACCCGGCCCUGCAUAUUACAGUUUAUUGCAGCAUUUCACAAUGAGAAGGACUAUAUAGAAAUACCGUCAUUCUACCAUUCACAGUGGGCGCCACGUUAUCCAAAAUUUGCCCGGUUUAACUAUGAUGGAGCCUCCUCAUACAAUAUCAACAAAAAAUUUCUUCGCUGAGGGCCUUAAAUAGUUGAGGAAGCACUUAAAUAUCUAUGAUUCAGUUACUAUCAACUUUAUGGUCUGUGAACACAUAUGGAAUUUUGAUCUUCAUUUCAGUCCUUCGCUUGAACAACAGACAUGUGGCAGACCCCUACUAGCAUUUAGAAUGCAUGUCUGGACUAUUGAACUCACUCAAGCCCUGCUUGGUGAUCCUAAACCACUGAUUCAUCCACCUAUUGCAGCAAUACACCUUCCUUCUUGUGGUUUCCAUAUGACCAUUUUAAGAAAGUUCAGGCCUCCAUUACAAUGGUUUGUCGUCCCAGUUGGCCCUGGCUUUCACGGAAAGUAUUUUGCGGAGCCAUGGUAUUGGUUUCUUUCUAAAGAUGAUUUUGUUCGCGGAGACGAACUUUUAUUCUAUUACAGAAGUCGUGAGGAUAUUUAGGAAAUGGUUAUUAGAAAACAGAGGAAUUGGGUGACAACGAUGAUUGGUGAAUUUAAAUUUUUAUUAUGUUAGUUUAUAUAUUACAACAAAUGUUUGGUUAAUGUUGAUUCUGGAUGGCA